AAAAAUUUGAAGCAUUUGGACUUGAGUUAUUCUGCUAUCAACAAUAGCUUUGGUCUACAAGACAUUGGAAUGAUGAGGCAUCUCAAAACUUUAUUAUUAGCUGGUUGUGGACUUACUGGACCCAUACCUACUGAUCAAGGUCUUUGAAAAUUGAAGUUUCUGCAAGAGCUAGAUAUAAGUGACAAUUAUCUCAAUGGUAGUUUGCCAUGGUGUCUAGCAAAUUUGACAUCCCUCAAAAGAUUCUCUCUC